GAUGAACGCUGGCGGCGUGCCUAAUACAUGCAAGUCGAGCGAACAGACGAGGAGCUUGCUCCUCUGAUGUUAGCGGCGGACGGGUGAGUAACACGUGGAUAACCUACCUAUAAGACUGGGAUAACUUCGGGAAACCGGAGCUAAUACCGGAUAACAUGUUGAACCGCAUGGUUCAACAGUGAAAGACGGUCUUGCUGUCACUUAGAGAUGGAUCCGCGCCGCAUUAGCUAGUUGGUAAGGUAACGGCUUACCAAGGCAACGAUGCGUAGCCGACCUGAGAGGGUGAUCGGCCACACUGGAACUGAGACACGGUCCAGACUCCUACGGGAGGCAGCAGUAGGGAAUCUUCCGCAAUGGGCGAAAGCCUGACGGAGCAACGCCGCGUGAGUGAAGAAGGUCUUCGGAUCGUAAAACUCUGUUAUUAGGGAAGAACAAAUGUGUAAGUAACUAUGCACGUCUUGACGGUACCUAAUCAGAAAGCCACGGCUAACUACGUG
rnacentral:rRNA from 1 species